GACGAACCGAGCGACCGUUGUUCGGAAUCACUGGGCUUAAAGGGCGCGUAGGCGGGCUGUCAAGUCUGGGGUGAAAUCCCGCGGCUCAACCGCGGAACUGCCUCGGAUACUGACGGUCUCGAGGGGGGUAGGGGCGAGCGGAACUGAUGGUGGAGCGGUGAAAUGCGUUGAUAUCAUCAGGAACUCCGGUGGCGAAGGCGGCUCGCUGGACCUCUUCUGACGCUGAGGCGCGAAAGCUAGGGGAGCAAACGGG
rnacentral:rRNA from 1 species